UACGAAGGGGGCUAGCGUUGUUCGGAUUUACUGGGCGUAAAGCGCACGUAGGCGGAUCGUUAAGUCGGGGGUGAAAUCCUGGAGCUCAACUCCAGAACUGCCUUCGAUACUGGCGAUCGUGAGUCCGGAAGAGGUGAGUGGAAUUCCUAGUGUAGAGGUGGAAUUCGUAGAUAUUAGGAAGGAACACCAGUGGCGAAGGCGGCUCACUGGUC
rnacentral:rRNA from 1 species